rnacentral:rRNA from 1 species
GAUGAACGCUGGCGGCGUGCCUAAUACAUGCAAGUCGAGCGAACAGACGAGGAGCUUGCUCCUCUGACGUUAGCGGCGGACGGGUGAGUAACACGUGGAUAACCUACCUAUAAGACUGGGAUAACUUCGGGAAACCGGAGCUAAUACCGGAUAAUAUAUUGAACCGCAUGGUUCAAUAGUGAAAGACGGUUUUGCUGUCACUUAUAGAUGGAUCCGCGCCGCAUUAGCUAGUUGGUAAGGUAACGGCUUACCAAGGCAACGAUGCGUAGCCGACCUGAGAGGUGGAGCGCCAACACGGGAGCGGGACCAGGCACAGGCCUCCUGGGGGAGGCGCGAGGGGGCACUUUCCGGCAGAGGGGGAAGGCCUGACGGCACAGGCCCGCGGGGGUGAAAAAGGUUUUGGGACCUAAAACCUUGUUUAUGGGGGAAAAACAAAUGUGAACUAAACUAGGCCCGUCUUGACGUUCCCUAAUAAGAAAGCCCCGGCUAACUACGUG